AGCUUUGUAGUCAAUUAUGAUUUCAGAUUGCAAAUUUGAAGGUGAAUGUUUUCUAAGGCUU
rnacentral:tRNA from 1 species